rnacentral:lncRNA from 1 species
UGCAUGUCACUUUCACUUUAUAGCCAUUAGGAAGAGUGACAAGAUAUGGCAGAGUUAAAGGUCUGAUGUUAACACAAUCAUCUUAAAACCUAUAUUGAUCCUAAUACAUGCCAGGAUUUAAAAAUAAAAAUAAAUCAAAACACAACUAAAACUAAAAUCAGAACAAACAGAGAAAAAAGUAGAUGUUUAUCAUGUGUCAUGUGAUUAGAGGCACCUGAAUCUAUAAUCCAGGUGAC